GCUUUAAUUAAUUCAAUGAUUUGUAACUUCAUUUAUCUUUGUUGUUGUUAGUAUUGUAUGGUGGACCAGGGAUCAAGUAAUGUGUUUCUCUUGCCCAAGGUUGAAACACAUGCACAAGGAAAUUUUUUUGUUUUAUUUAUUUAUUUUUUGUUUUAAAAUAAAAAUAAAAUUUAUACUUCUGCUUCCAUUAUGGUUACUUAGAGUGUUCUCACUAUGACACGUGGCAGAUUUUGUCAGUGAUUGUGAGAGUUAUCCAAAAGGAUGCAAAAGAGAAGAAAGCUGCUUUCAGCCGAAGGGCAUAUUUCAGAUUGUUUCUGAAUUGACUUUUGGACCUUGGUUCCCCUGACCCUGUCCUUGAUAGUUCCAACUUUCAGGUUCACUUUCUGUACAAAGGCACUCUAAGGGUGGCUCUUGGUACUGCUUCAUGAUUUUCCGGAGUUCCUUUGUGAUUAUCAUUUCAACUUUUGUGAUGUGAUUCCACCCAGUUGCAUUCAAAUGCGGAAUGUUAUUCAAAGUGCAUUCCCACGAAACAUGAGAUUGAUUUGCUGGCUGAAAUCAGCCAAUUACCGGGCAUUCUCUUUGAGGUUGAUGGUGCUCUGAAAGCAAAGCAGAUUAAGGUUGACAUUGAUGAGUAUCUCAAGUUAUCUUGAGUUGUCAUUAUUUUUCUCUACCUAACAUUGAGAAAUUCUCUUAUUUUCAUAUUUACAUAGCAAACCAUGCUAUACUAUUUUAUAAGUGCACGUUGCCA